UAUAAUUUAGUGUAGUUUGCAUUUAAAUUUUUGGUGUUUAAGGAGAUUUUUCAUUUAUAG
rnacentral:tRNA from 1 species